GAAUUUAUAAUUAAACAUUUACCCCUGUAUUUUUUCUUUUUACACAUUCUUCGUUUUUCUUUUAAUCAUAGUUUCAAAAGAGACGAGACAUUUGCCUCUGCUAGGGUUAUUGCCUCCUUCACCAUCGUCGCUCGUUCUCUAUUCCUCUCCCUCUGCGGUCGCUCGUUCACUAUUCCUCUCCCUCUGUGGUCCCUCGUUCUGAUCAUCGUACACCAUCGUUGGUUCUCUGCUCCUCACCGUGCGUUGUCGCUACUGCUCUGCUCCUCCCCGUGUCUCGCGGUCGUUGGUGGGUGGUCUCGCCGUGUCUUGCUUCCGUGUCUGCUCGAAGUCGAAGCAACAUUUCUUCUCUUGUCUGGACUCACUCCGACUCUCUGCUUUAGUUCGGUAGUUCAAUUCAGGUCAACCUGCUAAUAUAAUCACUUACACUUCCUUGUUGGAUGGGAUGUUCAAUAUCAAACAAGUUGACAAGGCAUUUGUGUUAUUUAAUCAAAUGAAAAAGAGUGGCAUUGACCCGAAUAUAGAUCGACGGGCUCUGCAAAGAGGGCUUAUUUGAAGAAGCAUUGGCCCUGAUGUCAAAAAUGGAAGACAAUGGUUGCUUACCAAAUGCUGUGACUUUUGAAAUUGUUAUUCGUGCUUUGUUUGAAAAAGGUGAGAAUGACAUGGCAGAGAAACUUCUUCGGGAAAUGAUUGCUAGAGGCUUAUUGAACGGAUGAAUGAAGGUAAAAUACAUCAACUCAAAUUGAAAUCACCUCUCUAUUGUUGCAGAAUAUGUAUCAUAUUUCUGUAAAUUCUAUAUCUGUUGGGUCACAGAACUUUGGCAAUGCCAUAACAUCAAUACCAUUGAUGUCUUGACUAUCUCAUUUUUAUUCAAUUAAUUUUGAACUUUCAAUUUUUGUAAUUGCUAUCAUCCUUUUUAAUUCCACUAUGCUUUAUUGAUUCUUUAGAGGAUAUUCCUAGUUGUAGCUUACAGGUUUAGUGUUUAAGAUCUCUUUAUAUUAAUUAAUAGUUCUUUACUGUUA